UAAAAACAGGAACGUGCGCUCCGUUGGUGUUGAGCAGUGGGCCAGCAGCAGAGUUCUGUUUUAGGCCAGGCAGUUCAUGGUGAUUGCACAAGGCUUCUGCUGCUGCUCCAGGGGCAGGUUUUGCUGCAGCACUGCUGAUGUGAGGUGCCCUUGUUACAUACCAGUGGUGUGGUAAAUAGGUAAAUGUGUAACUAGAACUCCUUGUGAAGAACAAACAGCGGAGAAUACCACAUCCUCGGAGAGACUGGAGGGACCGAUAACCAGCUUGCAAAAUAAAUGGAGAAGUUAAAAAAGCUUCUGCGUUUAUCUUCCCCAGUCCACACAGAGGUUCCUCUAUUAUCAGCUCCAACCAGCCAUAGUGGUCAAAGAGCCCGACAAACAGAAUGAUGCUCCAAGUUAAGGCCUUAUAAGGCAAGAAUGACCAAGAGUUCAGUCCUGCGCGAAAACCACUAGGAACCACCCAAAACCUACCAUGAAGCUCCCAGCAGACUUGAUGCGCAUGUGCCAAGGUGAUGUGAAUAUGGAAAUGAUUGCUGGGAAGUGUAAUGAAUACGGAAAUGAGUGCUGAGACAUGUAAUGACCAUGCAUAUUGUGUACGGGUAUAAGUCUCUGUGAAUCUCACAUUUGGUGGACGUGUUAGAUGGAGAGAUCCCCCGUGUCCCUGGUGCUGAAUAAAAGAAUGCCUGCUUCUUAAGACUACAUUGGUGUGAAGAAGUUCAUUCCCGAUUUCGGUGACACCCUGGCCAUGGCUUUACUUCAUUUUCUCGGACAGAGGAGAACCAUACAGAUUUGGAACCUGAACUGUGGUGAAAACAUCCCCUCAGCAGAGCAGCUGCACUGGAUAUUAAAGACAUCUGAGAGGACAAAUCUUGCUACAUGGCAGAGCUAAGCUAUAGAGACCUUUUGAAGCAACUUUACCAGCCCCCGUGAACUCAGUCUUUGGUGUUGACAUGAAGAAACAAAUACUAGGUCUCGGUGCUCAGCUGCGGGUGCCCAAACUACCUGAUGCGAUAAGGAUCACAAAUCCACCUACAACAGAGACCAACCCACGCUCGGAUGAAGCCGAAAUGAAAAAACGGGGCCAGGCUCAGGUCAGCGUGAGUCAGGUCAAUCAAGUUUCCCAACAGUCAGUCUAGCUGGGUGCCCCUGUGCUAUACACGUCCGAAAGACGCUUUUGUCAUUCACUGGCAGCUGAAAAUAAUUGUUAGUCUAAAUAUACCUCCUCAACAACGCUCCCAAAUGAAGGUAGGUAUGAAGAUGGUAGUGG